ensembl:lincRNA 2610028E06Rik RIKEN cDNA 2610028E06 gene
AACCAGGCCACGCCAGACGCAUCAUCUCUGGGUCCUGGUAUUCAUCCCCUUCCCGCCCAGCCCCGCCCCUGAAGACAGCAUGCAGCUGCAGAUUCCAGGGAGACUGCUGCUUAGGGGGGCCUACUGAAGCCAUAGCCCUGUGUGAGGAACUCAGGAUGAGAAGGUGAAGAUCAGAGACUCUCAGAGCCCACCUACAGCUUGUCCCCACGAAACCCACCCGACUUUUCCCUGCCUAGUCCACUCCACCACCGAUUGGGUCUGGCCCUGGCUGUGGGCAGCGAACUGGAAUCUCGAGCUGAGGGAACUCUGCCAUCCCGGGCAUGGAUUUCGUGUUCUUUCAGGUGCUCAACUGAAGUGGGACCACCAUCUCCAGAACUUCCAGAGGCAGGAAAGUGGACCGAGAAGAGCCCUGCAGACAAUGAGAGGUCCAUGCGGAGCAUCACACAAGCCAGAUAAUGGCCGAGCCCAGGCCGGAACCUCAGCCUCCUCGUAUGUGCGGCGUGGGUAUGAGUGGAACGCUGCACAUGGCUGUGCCUGUACCACAUGUGUGAGUGCGCGGGCACCACAUGCCUG